GGGCUGAUAGAUUCUUCACGCUUCAUUACCCCCAUUCUCUCUAAAUGGAGCAUAACUCCACAUCCCAAUCAGCAACCAGCUAAUCAAACACAGGCGCAAAUCAAGCACCGCUGAGAAAUGAAGAUAGAGUCUUUUGGACAAUUAUCCUUUCUUUCCUUAAAAUUACCAGAUACCUUUGGCGCAACAACAAAAAACUUAGGUGAAAUCUCAUUGACACUUCACCAAGCGGCAUUCACGGUUCUUACGCAUUUUUACUAACAAAAGAUUCCAUGACUUUUCCGUGAUUUUUCCGAGACUUUCAAGUAAAUUUUCAUGACCUAAUGUUUCAUGCGAUGUCUACAUAUGUGUGGUAAAAUAAAAACAAUGCAUGUUCAAAUUUAUUACUGCAUCUCGUUAAAUUUACCACAAUCUAUUUUGUUUCGCUUUGAUAAUUUAUAUGCUCUGAAAAAUUGAUUUAUAUAAUGCUUACACCGCACUAAUAAUGUGAG
rnacentral:rRNA from 1 species